AUUUUCUUAACCACUCAGGGUCGCCGCUAGCGSUUGGSUGUUUGCUCGUGACUGCGUUAUCUUGCUUCUACUUGAGMGCGGCGGACGGGUGAGUAAUGCCUAGGAAUCUGCCUGGUAGUGGGGGAUAACGUCCGGAAACGGACGCUAAUACCGCAUACGUCCUACGGGAGAAAGCAGGGGACCUUCGGGCCUUGCGCUAUCAGAUGAGCCUAGGUCGGAUUAGCUAGUUGGUGAGGUAAUGGCUCACCAAGGCGACGAUCCGUAACUGGUCUGAGAGGAUGAUCAGUCACACUGGAACUGAGACACGGUCCAGACUCCUACGGGAGGCAGCAGUGGGGAAUAUUGGACAAUGGGCGAAAGCCUGAUCCAGCCAUGCCGCGUGUGUGAAGAAGGUCUUCGGAUUGUAAAGCACUUUAAGUUGGGAGGAAGGGUACUUACCUAAUACGUGAGUAUUUUGACGUUACCGACAGAAUAAGCACCGGCUAACUCUGUGCCAGCAGCCGCGGUAAUACAGAGGGUGCAAGCGUUAAUCGA
rnacentral:rRNA from 1 species